AUUGCUGUUUCAGGAAAAAAAAAAAAGGGAGAAUUCUCCUUUUCUCUCUGGGCAACCCCAGAUCCCAGCCAAAAGGGCCACCGCACACCACCACCGUCGCCGUCGCCGUCUCUGGCCACCGCAAAUCCUGAAAAGUGAUGGUGCAAUAUGGAGGACGGUAGGGCGGUGUUGAGGCAACGUCAGAGGCAUCAAAGAGCAGGUGUGGCUGGUGGCAGAAGACAAGCUAGGGUUUCAGCUUUUCUGAAACCCUAGUUUGACUAAUGGGUUUGGGUUUGGGCUUAUUUAGUUUAGUUUAUUGGGCUGAUGUAAUCCGGGCCAAGAUUGGUGUAUACAGAUACGGACCGGUUCAAUUGGGCUAAAUUUAACUAGCUUUUAAUAUUGUUAUUUUUAUUAAAUUUUUAAUGAUUUAUGUAAUUGAAUCAUUCGGAUUGAUCAUACCCAUGAAUCAAUGGCUUGAUCAAUUUGUUGUCAAUACGGUUUUGAAAAGCUUAAGAAAAACUUGGAAAUUUACUUGGAAUUGAUUUAAAGGUGAAAA